rnacentral:rRNA from 1 species
GUGGGGAAUAUUGGACAAUGGGCGAAAGCCUGAUCCAGCCAUGCCGCGUGUGUGAAGAAGGUCUUCGGAUUGUAAAGCACUUUAAGUUGGGAGGAAGGGCAGUAAGUUAAUACCUUGCUGUUUUGACGUUACCGACAGAAUAAGCACCGGCUAACUUCGUGCCAGCAGCCGCGGUAAUACGAAGGGUGCGAGCGUUAAUCGGAAUUACUGGGCGUAAAGCGUGCGCAGGCGGUUGUGUAAGACAGGUGUGAAAUCCCCGGGCUCAACCUGGGAACUGCCUCCAAAACUACUGGGCUAGAGUACGGUAGAGGGUAGUGGAAUUUCCUGUGUAGCGGUGAAAUGCGUAGAUAUAGGAAGGAACACCAGUGGCGAAGGCGACUACCUGGACUGAUACUGACACUGAGGUGCGAAAGCGUGGGGAGCAAACAGGAUUAGAUACCCCUGUAGUCC